UGGUUAUAUGGCAUGAAGAGGAAGGCUUUCCUUCCAAUGUGGGACAACAAAAAUUGCCUAAGGUUCCAACAUGGUCUAGCCCUUGGCCUUUGUAGCAAAAAUUGUCCCCACAAUAAAAGGAUACCAAACUAGUGGUACUCUAUCACCAUUGGUUCAUGCCUUAUAAGGUGCAAAGAGGGAGGCUUUCUUUCCAAUGUGGGACAACAAAAAUUGCCUAAGGUUCCAACAUGGUCUA